ACGCUGGGAGGGCAGAGAAGGGAGCGCUGGAGAGGCGGCUGAGGAGCGCGGGCCCUGAGGCGGGGAGGCGAACGGCCCUCGAAGGCGAACCCGGGCCGACCGGGAGACAAAGGGGCCUGAUAGCUGAGACAUUCAGUCAACAGGAAAAUAUGAAUGAUGCGAGGGAGCAAUCAUUGUUCUUCAUCACAUCUCCAGAUUUACACAAACUCUGUGCUGUCAGGAUAAUACUGAGUAAUGGGGUGGCAGAUACUGAGAUUAGGAGUACGCAAAUGAAGAUGUGCAGGCAAUUGCUGUUUUUGCACCAAGAUAUUCUUACAUCACCUGUGCCUGGAAUAUUAAACCAAAUUUGGGUAGUGAUGGCGAUACCAUUUUAUAAAGCUGGAAAACUUAAUGCCUAUAUUGAAAAACAUGGAGCUAAAGUGGAGGCUCCACAGAGAGUAAUCCCUGUAAUUCUUCAAAACUGCCUUUCAUACUCACUCAUGGCUAGGCUUGCUCCAGCCUGGAAUAAAACUGGCCAUCUCUUGGUGCAAGGACAAGAAUUUCUUUCUCAGAUGGGAAAGCAAAGUGCUGUUGUAUUAGACAUCAAUGUAACUGAAACUCAAGUUUGUCUAAGUAUAGAAGCUUACACAAUCAGACUGCCACCACCUGAGCUAAGAGAAUUUGAUAUUUCUCAGAGUGUUAUAAAGGAUUUUGAUACUAACAAGAAUGCCAUCAUUGAAGGACAUUCAAUUUUAAGCAACUGGUGCUACGUUUUGCCAAGUAUGAAAAGGGGACAAAUAAUAAGUAUUCUUCACACCAUUCCCCCUGACUGUCCUUUUCAUUCAUAUGAAGAUUUCCAGAUGCACUGGGAUGACCUGAUGACAACGAAACCAUGCUACUACACACAAGAACUAAUGAAGCCUCAUGUACAGGAAAACAAAGUCAAGGCGCCUAAUCUGACCACUAAACAAGUGUUUAGGUCCUCUCUGACUCGGGCCCCUUGCACCAGACCUGUCCUGGCUCAGUGUCUUGUACCAGGUUCAGGAGCCAUGAACCACAGGAUGGAGAUUCCAGGAAGCCAGCUGAAGAAAACCUGGGUGUCCUCAGCACUGCAUCUCCAGCAGCAGUCUGUUCAGAGUGGAAAGAAAUCCCUGUCUGACAAGGCACCACAAGUACAUUUGGAAGCACCAAAGCCCAACACAGGAAACCUUCAAGUUCAAGGCACAGACUUAAGCUCCCAGAAUAAUACUGCCCCUACAUUCAUACCAGUUUUCAAAAAUCGAUCCUUGCAGAUGAAUAAAAAGAUCUUAGAACCUGGCAACCUGAAAAGGGAACAGCAUGUUGUUACAGAAUCUAAAUUCUUUUCACUUAAAACUAGUGUGAUCCAAAAUGACAAGCUGAAUUUAGAUCCAGCUAUUAAAAAAAGAUCUAAUCAUAACAUUCAGAUGAAUGCUAGAAAUUUAAAUCAGAAGAUUUCCAGACUUCUGCAAGGAAAAAAUACUGAGUCCUGUGAAAAUAUGACAAAAUAUCCCCCUUCUAAUGGAGAAUCACCAACUGUGAGUUUAAAUGAAAGUAAACACCUCUCUAAUAGUUCAGUAUCUCAUAUAUCAAAUAACAGUUUAGGUGUAAUAAAAAGUGCGGUUGACUUCCAAGUGAAUAGAAAAGAAAAUUUAACAAGGAAAUAUAUAACACAAAUUUUGGGGAAAGGCCGCGAAUCACUAAAAAUGAAAAAACAACCAUACAUUUUUGAAUCAGACACAGAAACAGAAGAUCCCCAACUACUGCAGCCACAAUCAAUGAAUCAGACUAUAAAAGCUGAUGUAAGUGACCACAAAUUGAUGAUAAGCAAAACAUCCCAGAGAUCUAAAAGAAGAUUGUGUCAAGAAUCUUCAAAAGCUUCAAAGAGACCUCAUUCCAAUACUAUCCAUUAUGGACAGUCCAGUUUUCCUAGGAGCAAGAUACGUGAUGUGGACAAAUCAAAAGUUCAGAAAUCUCUCAUCAUUCCUAAAACUUAGAACAUGGAUGUGAAGGAAGGACAUGACUACCAGAUAUUUGAUAACCCAGAUGGAAAUGGAGCUGUGUUUUGAUGAUGUGGAGGAGUGAGGGGAACAGAAAUGUAAAACACGAGUGCCUGCCAAAGCCCGGGAGCCUAAUGGAGAUGCCCACCUCACUCGGCAGUGGACGUGUUUCCUGGGACCCUGAAGACGGUGCCCAAGGUUAAGGGUUUUGUUCUUUAAAGAGAAAAAUAAAAUGGAAAUAGUAAAAACAACCUUCACCCAGUGCAGAGGACUGAAGGGGCUUUUGUCUGGGACCAUAAGACGGUAAUACGGAGCUGUGGGUCGUAAGGAUUGCUUUCUGACAGUUCUCGGAAGGAUGGUGGGUGUCCAAGACUCUCAAUGUAACUGUGGCUUGAUGGCAGAGUAAGCUGCUUUACUGAGGUGUGUGGGAUGAAGUAAGGGCAGAGGGCACCCGAAAUGCAGCAGGAUAGCAUGGAACCAAGUGGUGGAAUCAGGUCAGACACUUUGCAAAGUUCCAAUUAGGCAUGGCUAGUGAAAUGAGCCGUGAAUCGAGCUUCAGUCUACAAUGGUCUUAUUGCAUGGUUUUUACCUUGUGGACCUCAGUUUUAAAGUCAACUCAUGUGAGUUCUGAAAUUAGAAACCCAUUUAGAAUCUCUGCUUCCGACUUAGUUUUAUUCAACACACAUCCACGUAAUGAGGAUGCUGAGAGGUGGUCCCGAGGAAAAAAGCAAGGAGGGAAGUUCCGUGACAGCUGUGCGUGACCAAUAUGAGCCUAAGGCAUUCUUAUUUUUAUUUCGUGGAUUUGCUUCAGGGUUAAGUAUAAAGAACAACAGUGCAUGAGAAAGCUAUUCCUUUAUUAACGUGGAAAGCAAGUAUAAGUAACAAUACUGUGCGGUAGGAAGCGUUAUUAAUAAAUAGCCAUGUCCUAGCAUAUCACGUAAACUUCAAAGGGAGAGGAAAUGCCCCCACCUCUGCCCUUCCCCCCAAAGAAGACCCAGAGAAACAGGAAAUACAUAGUUACCAAAAAGCUACGAUGUUUGAGAAUGGGGUAUGGGGGAACAGAAUUCACAGUUACUGUCAGUAGUACAAGUUGGAGGGGGAGAGUCCAUGGGAAAUAGACUUCAUUCAGCAUUUCAGGAGCAUUAUUAGGAACCUCGCUCCCAGGGAGUCUCUCCUUCUGCUACUCGUGGCCCCUGGAAUCUCUUCCCACAGCCAAGCCAGUCUGGAAGCCCAGACACCCACGCAUCAAGAGAGAGAUUCACGGUGGUUUUAAGCCACUGGGUUUCAGGGUUAGCAUGUCACACAGCAAGAGGUGACCCAUAGAGCAGGCCAGUUUGGAAAUGAGGACAAAGAACAGGGCUCACAAGCAAAACUGCCAGGCAAGCACCGAGAACAUGAACAUGACAGAUGUAAGCAAACAUCCAUGCAGAGCCACUGGGCUCUCACUGCAGUGCUCCCCAUGUGUGCAAGAGGAGGACAUUUCAGUGACGCAGAGCUGCGAGGCCUGGAGUCAGAUGGCCCAGCACAUUGGGACACGUGUUUUUCUCACACUCUGCUGCACAGUGGGAAACACCGAUCUAACUGUGCUGGGGGGGGGGGGGGGGGCGGGGGCGGUCAGUGGUGGCAGACCACCAGGUCCUCGUCCUUAGUGAUCGCCCGCCAGUAUUUCCAACACCAGUCCCUCCGGGGAAGCCUGUGGACCCCCUAAACCAGGGUGGGCAACCCUCCCAGGCACCCCGGGACUUUUCAGUGUUGUGAUGGCCCUUUGACUCCCCUCCCUGGCCGUCUGCAGGGGAGGGAGGGUACUGACAUUCCCUGCCUGUACCUUGGAGCCACGUGGGGGGCGGGUGACACAAAGGGACCAGAUCCACUGGCCUGGACGAUCAGAGCACUCGGGGCAGCGAUCUCUCUGCUGAACCUCGUUGCUUCACGACGUGCAAGAUUUUCUUAACACGCGAUAUAAAAGAAGGAUUUAGAAGACAUGCUGAUGUGAUCCUUUUCAUGAGUAUCAGCAAUCUGCAAACACAUGCAGUGUUUCAAAACCUUUCUUCAAUUAGUAGUUCUCACUCUGUCCUCUGCCUCACCGCCCCCGUGUAAACUCGCUCCCUUUAGAACACGUGUGACUCCCACAGUGAGUCUCUAGAUGGAGGGAGGGUUUGGCGGUGGUGCCUGGAGCUUUGACAUUUGAAAAGGCCCCUCAAGAGCCGAGGGGUGUAGGAGAGGAAUCCUUCCCCUCCCCUCUGUUUCCCUUGAGAAUCACUCUUAGUCGGGUGACGCCGGCACCCCCAAAUCCUCCCAGCUUACAGCACUGAGAACUAUUUGAGAAACCAGUGUAGGCUACUCUCAGAAGCAGAAAGGCCUGUGUCCUCAGAGAUCAUGAGUCCAUCUGGUGUUCCCACAUUUCCGUGCUAACCUCACCCAGGCCGUGCGAAUGCCUUGUGGAUGAUGAAGAUGUCACAGGCCUGGCAGAGUGACUGCGGCCCACACGAUCUACCAGCUCCAGAGGUCCCUGCGAACUUGAGCGAGCUUGCUUCGGGCCCCGGUAUAAAUGGCAGUGCAUAGGAGUGAAGAGAAGGUCAAGCCUGCAUGCAUUUCCUGCCGUCUGCGGAUUUUUUUUCUCAACACUGCCUGUGAGGAAUUAUGCACCAACUCCACAAAAGCCACCGGCCCUGCUCCUGUCACAUCACCACCCAGUAGCCACCAGCUGCCAACGGCUGCCAGGGCCCCAGCCAUCAUCACGGAGGACUUCGGCAGUAAGAUCGUUCUCUCAAUGUCGCUGUCUACCCCCUCACCGUGCAAGUUCUUUAGUCUUUAGUCUUAAAAGCUUUCUGCUGGCUUUGUGUUGAGCAAGCCUCGUCUCUACUCCAGGUGGAUCUGGUAGUUUGAUCGGCGCAAGGCUGCUGCUUUCCCUGUAGACACCGAAAAGUAGACUUUCUCACUCUCCCGGCAAGAGACCGCAGUGCAGGAAAAUAAAGAUGUUUUCCACAGUGGGAGCUGCCAGCGAGGGACUGCUGUCCCCAGAACCCCGCAUUCCAUCCUCCAACAACUACUGACUGGGGGUCUACCGUGUUCCAGGGGCUUCCAACGCUAGCUCCUUAGGGAAUCAAAUCUCUGGUGCCAGGUGAAAACGAACCUGACCUGCAAUCCGGGACCUCGAGAAACCUGACAACAAAGACACCUGUGGCUUGGGGGAGCUCCCGGAGCCGCCACAGGAGCAGGUGAGUCUGGCGUCCCUGCCUGUGGCUGGAGAACACAGGCGAGCCGUGGGCCCGUGGGGGCCGAGCUUGGGAGCCAAGCCCCGGCCCCAGGGGGUUGUUACUGGGACAUUGUCGCUAGGCCGCGCCACCGGCUCCUUGCGAGCUUGCAGACCACAGACGCAGCACAGGCCGGAGCUGUUGGCGCAUCAGACCCUGGAUACGAGUAACCCCGAACCCCGAGUCCAGCCCCGGGUCGCGUGCCCACUGGUCAGUGCAGGCGGCCGUGCCGGAGGAAAAUCAGAGCCGAGCGGAUAGCGCUCCCGACGGAGGCGCAAAGGACGCACCUGGCCACGUCCACGGCGCCCACGCAAGGACCGGCUACUGGUGUGAGGUCACCGUACAAACGGAGGAGCGGCGCCUUCCUUAUAUGCGGGGGACCAAACCCAGGGAACAAGGAGGAGGGAAGAAACGUCGCCCCAGGACUCAUGCAGCUAACUGCAGGUGCAGCCGUGGCCCGGCUUCCGGGGACGCGAGGUCCUGACUCUCCACUCCCCAGUGAGUCUGACCUCCUGUGCUCUGCAGGGUGCAAACAGGCUGUCCCGCGGGGCACCACGCACAGCUGAGAGCAGAUUCUUCUUCAUACCGAAGAGAAGAUUAAAGGCCAAGACAAUAGACUGGCGACUCAACAAAUAUUUAUUGAAUUAUUAUUUAUUGAUGAAUUAAUUAUAACUUUAUCAGAUAAGAAGACUGAUGGUUAUGGGUCAGUGUGGCUAAGCCACAGUCCCUGGUCAAACACUGUGUUGCUGUGAACAUGCUGUGUAGAUGUGGUUAUAACACCUACAAGCAGUUGACGUUCAGUAAAGCAGAUUAGAAUGUGGAUGGGCCACACCCAGUCAGCUGGAGGCCUUAAGAGCAAAACUGAGGUUUCUAGGAAAAAAAGAAAUCCUGCUUCAAGCUGCCUGAGUGUGCAGCCUGCCAGCCUGCCCUGUGGACUUCAGACCUGUGGACUGCCAGCCCCACAACCACAGAAGCCAAUUCCUUGGAAUAAAUCUCUGAACAUUUAUAGGUUAAUCCUACUGGUUACUGCUUCCCUGGAGAACCCUGAUGGGCACAGAGAUCCUCAGCUCUUCUCCUCCACCUUGUUCGUAGAACUAAGUUCCCGGGAAAGAGAUUGAAAAGCACAUUUCUGGGGAAGCUGACCAGCUCAAGAGGAAGUUCCUAAACACGAAUACUGGCGUCACUGACUCCCCCAGUUGCAGAGCUUAGCAGGUCUCCCCACGGCGAACCCUACACCCACAAAAGCCACCCAGAUCCUCAGAGCUCACCACCAGCUUCUUAGCCCCAACCCUUAAAUCUGAAGAUACCAGACAUCUGCCCUCUGACAGGAAAGAGAGACCAACAUAGGAGACAACCAAGGAAGAAGAAAACUUCAGAAAUACUACCUUUGGUAUUCUCAGGGAGACCAGGGAAAAUACUUUAACUGUGAACCAGAUACCAUUUUGCAAAAAAAGGAAAACUGAGAGAACAACAACAAAAAAAGAACCCUUGAUAUUAAAAUGCCCUAGCAAAAUGGAAAACUCAGUAGAAGUAUUAGGAAGUAAAAUUCAGGAAAUCGAGCAAAAAGAGAAAUAUGGGAAAAAGGAGAGAAAAGGUAAGAAAAGAGAGAAUAAGUUCAGAAGACUAAUAUCUGAAAAGAAAAUGCAAACAAUGUGGUUAAGAGAGAAAAUCAUCAAAGAAAUAAUUCAAGAAAAUUUCCUGGAAAUACAAGAUAUGAGUUUCCUGAUGAGAAGGACCCACUGAUGGACCCAACUGAGAAGGACCCAACAUGAUGACUGACAUUUCACAAUAUUGGAGGCAAAA